rnacentral:rRNA from 1 species
AUUGAACGCUGGCGGCAUGCCUAACACAUGCAAGUCGAGCGGAUGAAGGGAGCUUGCUCCUGGAUUCAGCGGCGGACGGGUGAGUAAUGCCUAGGAAUCUGCCUGGUAGUGGGGGAUAACGUCCGGAAACGGGCGCUAAUACCGCAUACGUCCUGAUGGAGAAAGUGGGGGAUCUUCGGACCUCACGCUAUCAGAUGAGCCUAGGUCGGAUUAGCUAGUUGGUGGGGUAAAGGCCUACCAAGGCGACGAUCCGUAACUGGUCUGAGAGGAUGAUCAGUCACACUGGAACUGAGACACGGUCCAGACUCCUACGGGAGGCAGCAGUGGGGAAUAUUGGACAAUGGGCGAAAGCCUGAUCCAGCCAUGCCGCGUGUGUGAAGAAGGUCUUCGGAUUGUAAAGCACUUUAAGUUGGGAGGAAGGGCAGUAAGUUAAUACCUUGCUGUUUUGACGGUACCAACAGAAUAAGCACCGGCUAACUUCGUG